GACGAACUGUCCUAACGUUGUUCGGAAUCACUGGGCUUAAAGGGCGCGUAGGCGGUGCUCUAAGUUCGGUGUGAAAUCUCCUGGCUCAACUGGGAGGGUGCGCCGGAAACUGGAGUGCUUGAGCGUGGGAGAGGAAGCGGAAUUCCUGGUGUAGCGGUGAAAUGCGUAGAUAUCAGGAGGAACACCUGUGGUGUAGACGGCUUUCUGGACCAUAGCUGACGCUGAGACACGAAAGCGUGGGUAGCAAACAGG
rnacentral:rRNA from 1 species